rnacentral:rRNA from 1 species
AGUCGAACGGCAGCACGGACUUCGGUCUGGUGGCGAGUGGCGAACGGGUGAGUAAUGUAUCGGAACUGUGCCCAGAAGCGGGGGAUAACUACGCGAAAGCGUAGCCACACGGCCGCCUCUCUGGGAAAGCAAAAUCUUCGGGCCUCGCACUAUUAGAGCGGCCGAUAUCGGAUUAGCUAGUUGGUGGGGCAACGCUCACCAAGGCGACGAUCCGUAGCUGUCGAGAGGACGACCAGCCACACUGGGACUGGAGACACGGCCCAGACUCCUACGGGAGGCAGCAGUGGGGAAUUUUGGACAAUGGGGGAACCCCGAUCCAGCCAUCCCGCGUGUGCGAUGAAGGCCUCGGGUUGUAAAGCACUUUGGCAGGAAAAAGAAACGGCACGGGAUAAUACCCGUGCAACUGACGGUACCUGCAGAAUAAGCACCGGCUAACUACGUGCCAGCAGCCGCGGUAAUAAUGUAGUGUUGACCGGAAUUACUGGGCGUAUGCGCAGGCGGUUCGGAAAGAAAGAUGUGAAAUCCAGAGCUUAACUUUGGAAACUGCAUUUUUAACUACCGAGCUAGGGAGUGUGUCAGAGAAAGAAUCAUGUAGCAGUGAAAUGCGUAGAUAUGCGGAGGAACACCGAUGGCGAAGGCAGCCUCCUGGGAUAACACUGACGCUCAUGCACGAAAGCGUGAGCAAACAGGAUUAGAUACCCUGGUAGUCCACGCCCUAAAAACGAUGUCAACUAGCUGUUGGGGCCUUCUUCGGGCCUAAGAAGGCAGCUAACGCGUGAAGUUGACCGCCUGGGGAGUACUGGGUCGCAAGAUUAGAACCAAAGGAAUUGAUUUGGACCCGCACAAGCGGUGGAUGAUGUGGAUUAAUUCGAUGCAACGCGAAAACCUUACCUACCCUUGACAUGUCUGGAAUCCCGAAGAGAUUUGGGAGGCGCUCGCAGGCGAGAACCGGAACACAGGUGCUGCAUGGCUGUCGUCAGCUCGUGUCGUGAGAUGUUGGGUUAUCCCGCAACGAGCGCAACCCCUUUGUCAUUAGUUGCUACGAAAGGGCACUCUAUCGAGACUGCCGGUGACAAACCGGAGGAAGGUGGGGAUGACGUCAAGUCCUCAUGGCCCUUAUGGGUAGGGCUUUCACACGUCAUACAAUGGUCGGGACAGAGGGUCGCCAACCCGCGAGGGGCGCCAACCUGCGAAACCGAUCAGUCCGGAUCGCAGUCUGCAACUCGACUGCGCGAAGUCGGAAUCGCUAGUAAUCGCGGAUCAGCAUGUCGCGGUGAAUACGUCUGGUCUUAGCGACACCGACCGUCACACCAUGGGAGUGGGUUUUACCAGAAGUAGUUAGCCUAACCGUAAGGAGGGCGAUUACCACGGUAGGAUUCAUGACUGGGGUGAAGUCGUAACAAGGUAA